GGGAGUAUAACAUAUUUUUUAAAAUUUUUUUAGACUUUUUAAUUUAAACAUAAUAAUUAAGAGAAAGACAUGUGAAUGAGAGGAUGAAGCUUCUUACUCAAUAAAACUAUUUAAAAAAUAAUAAUAUCACUAUUCACUUUUCAUUUAACAAAAGGAUGAAGCUUCUUACUCAAUAAAACUAUUUAAAAAAUAAUAAUAUCACUAUUCACUUUUCAUUUAACAACAAUGACAAAGAUUAAUAUAUUCAUAUAAGAUACGUUUUUCAGAAAAAAUAAUAUUCACCCUGUUUGCCUAUUUUACUUACAUAAUUUUUUUAAAUUUAUUUAAGCAAAAUAUAUUAGAUCAUUCAUUUGGAGAGGAAGAGAUAUUUCUUUAUUUGUAGAAAUAUAACACGAUCCUACCAAUACAAGUACCAAGCAAUAAAACAUAACCCAACCGAAAUUAAAAACAAAUAAAAGCUUAUUGGGUUGACACUUGACAAAUAACAAAGCAUUGAUAACUAACUAAGAACAUGGCAUUUAACAUCGCUCUCUAGAAAUUAUCAUCGUAACCAAGACCAUCCUCAAUCCUCUCCACCACGUCAUCAGCAAUCUUAAGGGUCUAGCAAAGCAUAAGAGGACUAAUAAGACAAACAAAUUGUAAAUGAUGAAAAAGUAAUAUUAAUUAGAGGAUAAAAUUAAAAAAUAUACAUUAAAAAUUGAAAUAGAUCAUUAAUUUUAAAAUAUAUUUUUUAUUUCAAAUGGAUUAGGACGGAGGGAGUAUAACAUAUUUUUUAAUUUUUUUUUAGACUUUUUAAUUUAAACAUAAUAAUUAAGCGAAAGACAUGUGAAUGAGAGGAUGGAGCUUCUUACUCAAUAAAACUAUUUAAAAAAUAAUAAUAUCACUAUUCACUUUUCAUUUAACAACAAUGACAAAGAUUAAUAUAUUCAUAUAAGAUACGUUUUUCAGAAAAAUAAUAUUAA
rnacentral:lncRNA from 1 species